rnacentral:rRNA from 1 species
AGUGAACGCUGGCGGUAGGCCUAACACAUGCAAGUCGAACGGCAGCACAGUAAGAGCUUGCUCUUACGGGUGGCGAGUGGCGGACGGGUGAGGAAUACAUCGGAAUCUACUUUUUCGUGGGGGAUAACGUAGGGAAACUUACGCUAAUACCGCAUACGACCUACGGGUGAAAGCAGGGGAUCUUCGGACCUUGCGCGAUUGAAUGAGCCGAUGUCGGAUUAGCUAGUUGGCGGGGUAAAGGCCCACCAAGGCGACGAUCCGUAGCUGGUCUGAGAGGAUGAUCAGCCACACUGGAACUGAGACACGGUCCAGACUCCUACGGGAGGCAGAAGGGGGGAAUAUUGGACAAUGGGCGCAAGCCUGAUCCAGCCAUACCGCGUGGGUGAAGAAGGCCUUCGGGUUGUAAAGCCCUUUUGUUGGGAAAGAAAAGCAGCAGGUUAAGACCCCGCUGUUCUGACGGUACCCAAAGAAGAAGCACCGGCUAACUUCGU